GAUGAAGAACGCAGCGAAAUGCGAUAAGUAAUGUGAAUUGCAGAAUUCAGUGAAUCAUCGAAUCUUUGAACGCACAUUGCGCCCGCCAGUAUUCUGGCGGGCAUGCCUGUUCGAGCGUCAUUUCAACCAUCAAGCCCCCGGCUUGUGUUGGGGACCUGCGGCUGCCGCAGGCCCUGAAAAGCAGUGGCGGGCUCGCUGUCACACCGAGCGUAGUAGCAUACAUCUCGCUCUGGGCGUGCUGCGGGUUCCGGCCGUUAAACCACCUUCAUAACCCAAGGUUGACCUCGGAUCAGGUAGGAAGACCCGCUGAACUUAAGCAUAUCAAUAAGGGA
rnacentral:misc_RNA from 1 species